GUGGAUAGCUGGCAACAUACAAGGCUCUAAAUGUUUGUUGGUAUUUUAAAGGAAUGAAGCUCUCGAGGUCAUGGGCACUGGAUGUUUAUUCUAAAAAUGUUUUUAAUUCAUUGGUGUCUCCUUCUGCCUAGAAUUUCUAC